UUAUUUCCAUGGUAUCUGCAGAUCCUGGCGCCAUGGAGGAUCCCCGAAUUCUACACCCGCUUCCGAGGACGGAGCGACCUCAUGGAGUAUGCGAAGGAUCAUGGAAUUCCGGUCCCAGUCACGCCAUCUAAUCCUUGGAGUAUGGAUGAAAACCUUAUGCACAUCAGCUAUGAAGGUGGAAUUCUGGAGAACCCUAAG